AUUGAACGCUGGCGGCAGGCCUAACACAUGCAAGUCGAGCGGAUGAAGGGAGCUUGCUCCUGGAUUCAGCGGCGGACGGGUGAGUAAUGCCUAGGAAUCUGCCUGGUAGUGGGGGAUAACGUCCGGAAACGGGCGCUAAUACCGCAUACGUCCUGAGGGAGGAAGUGGGGGAUCUUCGGACCUCACGCUAUCAGAUGAGCCUAGGUCGGAUUAGCUAGUUGGUGGGGUAAAGGCCUACCAAGGCGACGAUCCGUAACUGGUCUGAGAGGAUGAUCAGUCACACUGGAACUGAGACACGGUCCAGACUCCUAUGGGAGGCAGCAGUGGGGAAUAUUGGACAAUGGGCGAAAGCCUGAUCCAGCCAUGCCGCGUGUGUGAAGAAGGUCUUCGGAUUGUAAAGCACUUUAAGUUGGGAGGAAGGGCAGUAAGUUAAUACCUUGCUGUUUUGACGUUACCAACAGAAUAAGCACCGGCUAACUUCGUG
rnacentral:rRNA from 1 species